rnacentral:rRNA from 1 species
ACGCUGGCGGCACGCCUAACACAUGCAAGUCGAACGCAGUAGCAAUACUGAGUGGCAAACGGGUGAGUAUAAUGUGGGAAUCUGCCUUUUGGUUUGGAAUAACACGGGGAAACUUGUGCUAAUACCGAAUAAGCCUUUACAGGGAAAGUUUUAACGCCGAAAGAUGAGCCCGCACUUGAUUAGCUAGUUGGUAAGGUAAAAGCUUACCAAGGCAAUGAUCAAUAGCUGUUCUUAGAGGAAGACCAGCCACAUUGGGACUGAGACACGGCCCAGACUCCUACGGGAGGCAGCAGUGGGGAAUCUUGCACAAUGGGGGAAACCCUGAUGCAGCGAUGCCGCGUGAGUGAAGAAGGCCUUUGGGUUGUAAAACUCUUUCGUCGGGGAAGAAAAUGACUGUACCCGAAUAAGAAGGUCCGGCUAACUUCGUGCCAGCAGCCGCGGUAAUACGAAGGGACCUAGCGUAGUUCGGAAUUACUGGGCUUAAAGAGCUCGUAGGUGGUUAAAAAAGUUGAUGGUGAAAUCCCAAGGCUUAACCUUGGAACUGCCAUCAAAACUUUUUAGCUAGAGUGUGAUAGAGGUAAGUGGAAUUUCUAGUGUAGAGGUGAAAUUCGUAGAUAUUAGAAAGAACACCAAAUGCGAAGGCAACUUACUGGGUCACUACUGACACUGAGGAGCGAAAGCAUGGGUAGCGAAGAGGAUUAGAUACCCUCGUAGUCCAUGCCGUAAACGAUGUGUGCUAGACGUUGGAAAUAUAUUUUUCAGUGUCGCAGCGAAAGCAUUAAGCACACCGCCUGGGGAGUACGACCGCAA